ensembl:lncRNA
GAAAAACACAUGCAAACUCAGAAAACACCUGCAUCGACUUCAUAACACGAGCAAAUAGGGAAACGAACUGCAAGUUAUGACAACGGAAAUGUGUCCCCGGGGACCAUAAUCAGUGACGGACCCAUAUCCGGUUGGCGGUUCUUUUCAAUUACGAAGGUGUUAAGUCGUUUGAUUGUGCUACAAGAGAUUGACAUGUUCUGCCCGUUCUGUGCGGUGCAACUGGGGGACGCUCCCAAGUUUUGCCCGUCAUGUGGGCAGAAUGUGGAGUUCCUUACACAGCUUCCAUCAACUCCAUCCACCUCGUCAAGCGAAGGCUGUGGGCCUACAGAUGAGGCCUCAGAGGAAGACCUUAUCCGGGACCUCUUCAGAAAGGGCCACUCCUCCACCGUUAUCUGCGAUUUUUUGGAGACAAAACACGGGAUAGUAAUGAGCCUGAAAACUCUCAAAAGAAGGCUGAAACAGCUCAACCUUAGUCGGAGGGCAAGUUAUGCUCCGAUGGAGACUGUGAACUCUGCCAUCAGGACUGAACUGAAUGGCUC